rfam:Triticum aestivum genome assembly, contig: Triticum_aestivum_CS42_TGACv1_scaffold_061156_1DL
UUUCAAGUCCCUCCGUUCCACAAUACAUGCCUUUCAUUUGUCAAAAUAUAGAUGUAUCUAGACAUGUUUUAGUAUAUAUAGGUAUAUCCAUUUUUGAACAAAUGAAAGUCAAGUAUUUUGGAACGGAGGGAGUACUAA